UAAUCAGGUUUCUCUCCUCCAUAGUUGCGUAGGGCCUGUGUGACCUCCAUUUCUAAUAACUGCGUUUAUAUUAACAGUGUGUGUUUAUCCUCAGGUUGUCGUGCUUGGUUCUCUGGUUCAGUAAUCAGGUUUCUCCCCUCUCUGGUUCAGUAAUCAGGUUUCUCCCCUCCAUAGCUGCAUAGGGCCUGUGUGACUUCCAGUUUUAAUAACUGCGCUUAUAUUAAAAUUAGUGUGUGUUGUGUGCUGAACAUAUUUUUGUAUAAGAAUAAAAUUGUAUUUAUAUUUUUCCAUACACGCUUCUGUAUUCAUUUGUGCACGUACCUGUGUUUAGUAGGGGAAACCCUCUGUUGAGAGGCUGGAUUGUUACCAUUCUUAGGGUGAAAGUCCCUAGGUGGCGUUGUCGGUUCCAUGUUAAAAGAUACCAGAAGACCCUCACCAGUCCAAACCUGGUUACAUUAUCAUGUUCACAGAGGUCGAGAGCAAUCUGUUUCCAUGGACGUUCGGGCAGCAGUGUGGAGAUAACUGGCUCCUUUUGCUGAGCUCGCGACUCUACAGUGUUCUUAAGUUCUACAGAGAGUCCAGGCCACCAAGCUGAUACAUUGGCUCUGUCUCUGCACUUUAUUAGCCCUUUGUGUCCAUCAUGUAUCUUCUGCAAGAUGCCUGUUCUCAUUGACCUUGGAACAAAAAUCCUGGUUCCUCGUAUGUUGAAGUCAUCAGCUUCUGACAGCUCAUUUUUCACUUUCAUGUGAUUUAUGGUGGAACAUUGCUACUGUGGUAGGACGGCUCAGUCCGCCUCCACUCGUAUUGUGUGCAUCAGAUCCGGUCUGCGCAGCUGGGAGUAAUCUGCCUAAUGCACCUUGCUUGCUGGGCGGUGCCACACCCAGUUAUAUCUAGGAGAGGGCUGUGCGUCUCGUACAUGCAUCCUCUUUCCUGUUCCUGGGCCGGAGGGCUACAUUAGUAGCAUGGCUUAGCAUGGAUUUGCGUGGUGGUUUUGAGACGCUGGCUGUCGAGCUUUCGCUGUUUCCUGUCAUCAGAGUCGGGCCGUAUUCUGGCUGAAGGCUGGGAGCCGGGCGUAAUAAUUCACGCGCUGCAUUUAAUUUCUGAGUGAUUGAGCUGCAUUUUUCUGCGGCUGUCUCCCCUGUUGCCUGAAAAGCUGUGGCUACAUUGACGGGCGGCUCUACUUCCUGAAGCGGGCUACUGAUGUUCUGUCACCAGUUCAUCGCGGCAAGCUCUCUGCUCAUCGGCAGCUGUUUUGUUGUUGAGCUGUUGGGCCAGGUGGCUGGUGGCUGACUGAUUUCCCCCGGAGGUGGUGGUCCCUUCACUCCCUGUACAAUAGUGCACUUGGGUGUUCGUCAAUGAUUUUGUUUUGUUCACGUGUGGUGUGGUGCAUUAAGACCCUUCCCUUCUCCCCUCCAGUUCGUCAUCGCUGCCUGAUAUCGCCCAGUCAAGAGCAGAACAGCCAAAGCAGCCACAUCUGUAAAACUUCCUGCGAACCCGUCAAGGGGACAGAAGACGGUGUUUUUCAAAAGACUGGUACAGCAAACGUAAAUGGCUGGAAUAUUGUCAAAGUAAGGACUCUGCCUUCUUAUGCUUGUCGCCAUUUCAAGAAGAGGGUUUCAAAAAUUGGAAAAAGGCAACCUUCAAAGAUGUCGGAAAUGUCCAAUCUGCACUGAUUACAUAUAAUAAACUGGCCUAGGACACAAAGAGAGGACAUAUUACCCACUAGCCAAAGCUACUGAAUAGAAUGAUGAAUCAUAACAUGCUUUACCUAACAAUCAGUGAAAAAAAGAAGUACAGAAAAUUCCUCAACGUUGUCUUCAACACAGGAGCAGAGGUAUCCUGAGAACAUAAGGUGGACUGAUCUUUAACGUGGAUCAGCUAACCCUCCUAUGUCACAUUUCCUACAUGAUGAUGGAUAAUGUGCUGCUUUUGUAACAGCCUGUGUACCUGAAAUGUUUGCAACCCACACACAGGCCCAUUAAAAUUCAGAGUAAAGCUUCACAUUGAACGUGAUAUGUCCGAUAGCCAGCUAUUUGGUGUUUUUACUGUCAAAGCAUCCCACAAGUCCUCAGCUCAUUACUCUGCACUCCAUCGUUAUGUUAAAAACAGUCAUCUCUGAGCACAAAUGUGAAAUGCUGAUUAAAUACAAGCAACACACAAUGCUUCUCUUGUACUUGGAAUACCUGAAAUCAUCCAAAUGUCUUCAACUGUCUCACAUCCUAAACUGAGCAAACAGAAACUAGUAUGAAGCAGCUCUGCAGGUCCCACUCAUCAGGCCUUUGGUUAGUGGUUCAUAGACCACCCAUACAAGAAAAUUACUGGAGGGCCAUGGCACUAAGAGAGAGCAUGCCAGAGAUAAGACUUGUCUGAGACAGAAGUAGCCGUCAACUGGCCAUUGGGCAUACAGAGACAAACGGCAGUGAGCUGCUGCACUGAGCAGCAGAUCAUCAAAAAAAAUCCAUCAAUUUUUUACCAGGCCUGUGUCAUUUAGGGUAUGCAGGAGAUCAUGCUACCAUACAUAAUAUGUAAUCUACCCUGACGACCUGACCCAAGCACCCGCCAUCCUCUGGACCUGUCUCCACGGACAAGUCUCGGGCUGAAUUUCUUUCUGACUGCAAACCUGGAAGGAAACCUCUCAAAAAAGUGUUAUUUACAGGCAGGCGAGGCUGACUUCCAGAGGAAGAGCAGAGAGACAGGGCACUGGACAAAAGCAGCCUUUUUCUCAUCUGAAAAACAAAACAAAACAUUUAACUUUUACUCAUUUCUCCAGGAGAGUGGGCUGCACAAACAAAAUACUUAAAAUGAAUGCUAUUCUUUCAUUACUUCUAUCAAUCCAGCCAACUUUUUUUUAAAGGAAGCAAAAUUCUGCUACUCUAUAGAGGAAAUGUAUUCCAUUGCCAUCUACAACCAGCACUCAAGUUAUACAUAGACUGAAAGCAACUUUUGCUAGGUUUGGGAUCCCAGAUGAAGUGGUGAGUGCCAAUGGACUUCAAUUUUCUAGUGCGUAAAACUGGCGCAGCAGCUUGACUUAAGACACAUCAUGUCUAGCCCUCACUAUCCUCCACCAAAUGGUCACGCAGAAAGGGCAGUGCAGACCGCAAAGAGAGUCAUCCAGCAGAAAGACCCGUUGAUAGCCUUCCAUGUGCUACCAUGGGGGUCAGUCCAGCAGAACUGCUGAUGGGGAGGAAAGAUCAGAAUGACUCUCCUUAUGCUUGAGAAGAAUCUACGGCCCAAAUGGCCCAACAGAAAGAUUGUCAAACAAAAGGAUGCUAAUGAAAAGGCUAAACAAGCUUUCUAUUACAAUCGCCGGCAUUGUGACACACAUCUAUCAGUUCAAUAUCUGGGAGACACCGUCUGCACAGAGCUGGGCCAUGAAAAGGCUUGGAAGACACCAGCAGUCUUCUUAAAAGAGGCUCGAGGUAAGAUCUCGGAGUAACCUCCGAGGUCUUAUCUCAUCGACAUGCAGGGAGAAGCAGUGCUGCGGCGGAACAAACUCCAUCUCCGGGCAGAUGCAACUCCUCAACCUGCAACAACCGACCAGCCUGCCUCCACUGAGGGUGCAGGGAUGGACUCCCAAUCUGCAAGUGUCACCACUCCAGAGACCGUUUCCUCUAAAUCAAGUGAGGUGAUUAACCCUGUGCACACACAAACACCAAGACGGGCCCUCACAAGAUCAGGCCGUGUCAGUAAGCCAGUUGUUAGAGUGGACUUUUGGAGCACUGCGUUUCUAGGUGUUAAACAAUGGACUCUGGGGUGGAAAGGAAGCAUCUAUGGCUUUUUUUUGGGGGGGGGGGGUGAAAAGAGAAACAAGACAAAACAAAUGACAUGAAGCAACAUGUAAACUUUAGUUAUGUUGAGCAAUUUGAGUUAAAAGUGACAUUUGCUAAUGUUUUGCAGAGAGAAAUUGCAUCCUGAGUCUAUUUUAUAGAGAAAUCUAAGCUAACAAGGGUUGUGAAACUAACCUGGACUGAUAAGACAUUUUAAGUUUGAUUAGAAGGCCAAAUGAAUGUGUGUUAUCACAGUUUGGAGAUACUGUUUGAUAUAUUACUGGGCCGUCAUCAUUCUGUUUAUAUGCACUUUGUAGUUAUUGGGAAUAAUUUGGAAAAAGGGAGAUGUCCCAUAUGCACAUAGCACGCACUUUACUUGCUUUGUGACAUGCUUUACGGCAGAACGAAAUCUCGCCUAUGCUUGGUAGCAGCAUGAGUUGUUGUGAGUUGUAUGCUGAAUGGGUGGCAAGUGAAUAAAGCCAAAUUAGUAAAGAAACUCGCCUCCGAUCAUUCUACACCGUGGGGGUAGUCAGUUUUGUAUUCUAAUUUUGUUUUAACAGUCUAGUCCUGGUGUUCCUCCGCUCCAUUAGGGAGCUCUGUUGUUAGCUGAGCCUGGUAAAGCACCUCUUGUUUCAAGAUAAAGUUUGUCAUUUCCAGCUGUUCUUUUGUGUGCUGUAAAUAAAAUUAUUCUUAGACACUCCAACGCCUGAAUGUUGAAUCUCUGUUGCAUUACGCCUGGGUCUCUGAUUCAUUUCGUAACGCAUAUGCUGUUAAUAUCGAACAUGUAAUGUAUAUUGGUUCAGACAAGACACUUUGUCAGAUUUUAACCAUUUCAGACUGACAUGCAUUUGUGUUUGGUGGUGACUCUGCUUGAGUGAUGCUCUGGAAUGAUCUGCACAAGCUUGACACAGACAGUCUCUGAGAUCACAAACCCCCUGGCAGAACCUGAUAUUGAAUAGGAAGCAAAUCUAUACAUGCACAUAUUUCUUAUAACAAUGAGGAGGCUGGGGAGAAGGGGGGAGCAGGUUCAUGACCAGUGAAGGCUGAAGCAGCAGUGAUGUGGCAGCCCAGAGCAGGCAGAAUGAAUAAACGCUGCCCCAGUUUUAAGGUGCCCUAAUAGGGAGGAGUGGACUGACUAUGAGCACGAUUGGACAGUGUAGAACCUUGUGACUGGCCUGUAUGAGCUAGCGUAAAACUGUAUUUAUCGGUCCUACUUUUACUGCCAAUAAUCCAUAUCUGCCCUGAAAAAAAAAACAUAUCAGUUGAUUGCUACCCUUUGAUUGGUGCAGAUAUGGACGUAUGUAAGGGAAACCUGCAGACAUUACUUAGGCCUGGAGAAGUCCUGCAAACAGUUUAUGAUUUAUAAGCAGCAGUCAGGCAAAGAUAAGGCGCAAAGUACAGGAGCUUUCUUUGUGGUACUGACCCCCAUGGUAGCAUAUGGAAGGCUAUCAACGGGUCUUUCUGCUGGAGGAUUCUCUUUGCGGUCUGCACUGCCCUUUCUGCAUGACCAUUUGGUGGAGGAUAGUGAGGGCUAGACAUGAUGUGUCUUAAGUCAAGCUGCUGCGCCAGUUUUCCGCACUAGAAAAUUGAAGUCCAUUGGCACUCACCACUUCAUCUGGGAUCCCAAACCUAGCAAAAGUUGCUUUCAGUCUAUGUAUAACUUGAGUGCUGGUUGUAGAUGGCACAUGUAUCUCCAGGAACCGUGAAUAGUAGUCUGAAAUCACAAGUAAGUUGUGUUUAUUGUGACCGGCUGAUGAGCCAUCAUUGCCAUACAGCUGUGGGGGAACUAAUGAUUGGUUUGGCCGUUGCAGCAGGGAGUUCAAAUUGAUUGACGGACGUAGCUCCAGUAUACUCCUGAACAUUUCUGGACAGGUACGCGCUGUGCAGCACGUGAAGCACUGGUAAGCUUUAGAUUUUACAUUAAUAUUGUUUCUUCUUUUAAGACCAGUCUUCUGUGGCUGCAGGGCCGAGUCCAUUGACGGUGUCUCUGCUUUUAUCGGCGGUGUCACGCGCGUGUAGGAUCGGACAGCCAAGGUAACCAAAAUGUUUGUUUAUGCUUAUUGUUAUCGUUCUGUUGCUUGAUUGUGGUUAAACAUUUCUUUGUUUCAUUGCAGUUUUGCCUCUGUUGCCUUGUCUUUUUGUUUGUUUAUUUUGUUGCUUCUUUCUUUUAGUUUGUAGUCGUUUUGCCUAGUUUUGUAUGAGUUUGCUUGAUUCGAGUUUAGUUUUGUUUUCUCCCCGUGUGUGUUUAUCCUUAUCGUGGCUGUGUUCUCUGGCUCAGUAAUCAGGUUUCUCUCCUCCAUAGCUGCGUAGGGCCUGUGUGACCUCCAUUUCUAAUAACUGCGUUUAUAUUAACAGUGUGUGUUUAUCCUCAGGUUGUCGUGCUUGGUUCUCUGGUUCAGUAAUCAGGUUUCUCCCCUCUCUGGUUCAGUAAUCAGGUUUCUCCCCUCCAUAGCUGCAUAGGGCCUGUGUGACUUCCAGUUUUAAUAACUGCGCUUAUAUUAAAAUUAGUGUGUGUUGUGUGCUGAACAUAUUUUUGUAUAAGAAUAAAAUUGUAUUUAUAUUUUUCCAUACAUGCUUCUGUAUUCAUUUGUGCACGUACCUGUGUUUAGUAGGGGAAACCCUCUGUUGAGAGGCUGGAUUGUUACCAUUCUUAGGGUGAAAGUCCCUAGGUGGCGUUGUCGGUUCCAUGUUAAAAGAUACCAGAAGACCCUCACCAGUCCAAACCUGGUUACAUUAUCAUGUUCACAGAGGUCGAGAGCAAUCUGUUUCCAUGGACGUUCGGGCAGCAGUGUGGAGAUAACUGGCUCCUUUUGCUGAGCUCGCGACUCUACAGUGUUCUUAAGUUCUACAGAGAGUCCAGGCCACCAAGCUGAUACAUUGGCUCUGUCUCUGCACUUUAUUAGCCCUUUGUGUCCAUCAUGUAUCUUCUGCAAGAUGCCUGUUCUCAUUGACCUUGGAACAAAAAUCCUGGUUCCUCGUAUGUUGAAGUCAUCAGCUUCUGACAGCUCAUUUUUCACUUUCAUGUGAUUUAUGGUGGAACAUUGCUACUGUGGUAGGACGGCUCAGUCCGCCUCCACUCGUAUUGUGUGCAUCAGAUCCGGUCUGCGCAGCUGGGAGUAAUCUGCCUAAUGCACCUUGCUUGCUGGGCGGUGCCACACCCAGUUAUAUCUAGGAGAGGGCUGUGCGUCUCGUACAUGCAUCCUCUUUCCUGUUCCUGGGCCGGAGGGCUACAUUAGUAGCAUGGCUUAGCAUGGAUUUGCGUGGUGGUUUUGAGACGCUGGCUGUCGAGCUUUCGCUGUUUCCUGUCAUCAGCAGAGUCGGGCCGUAUUCUGGCUGAAGGCUGGGAGCCGGGCGUAAUAAUUCACGCGCUGCAUUGAAUUUCUGAGUGAUUGAGCUGCAUUUUUCUGCGGCUGUCUCCCCUGUUGCCUGAAAAGCUGUGGCUACAUUGACGGGCGGCUCUACUUCCUGAAGCGGGCUACUGAUGUUCUGUCUGCAGUUCAUCGCGGCAAGCUCUCUGCUCAUCGGCAGCUGUUUUGUUGUUGUAUGAUGUUUUUAAAAAAAAUAAUAAAAUAAAAUAACAACGAUCUUGGUGUGCGUAUGCCUCUUGCCCAGCACGCCUGUUAUUGAGAGUAUUAUUAUUAUUAGGGUUGUUGCUGUUUUUUUUUUUUUGUAUUAGAAUUGUUAGUAUUAGAAUUGUUAGUAUUAGAAUUAUUAGUGUUAGUAUAGAUCUUGGGAUUCUUGAUUAGUUAGUUUUGUUUAUUUACUUAUUUGUUGUGAUUGCAUAUUUAAAUUAUUCAGUUAUCUUUUUUUUUUGUUUUGGUUUGUAAAUUUUGUUUUCCUUUUUUUUGGUUUAUUGGGUUGACUGGGCGAGGGAGUAAGGGGUGCAUGUUGGCGUAAUUGGCCUUGGUGGUGACCUCGUGGGCCCAGCCUAGUGUGGUGGUGACCCUUCCCUUCUCCCCUCCAGUUCGUCAUCGCUGCCUGGUAAACCCUCAGCCCUGUGCCUGGUGGCACACUUAAUUAAGUCAGGGGGGGCCCUUGAGGAUUAGAUUAAUACUGUGCCACUUACUACCGUUAUGUCUUGGCAUCGCCAACAAGGUCGGUUUUAGAAAGAGUGUACAUUUUUAAAUAUUGUUAAUAAAUUUCAUUUUUCUGUACUUAAAGUGGAAUCGCGUCAGUCUCCGGUGCCUUUCGUACCUGUGUGACCUUUCUUGUGGUCUGUAUUAGAGUGGUGGUCCUCCCUAAAUAGAUCUCCUGGGGGUGAUACUCCCCCAGGUGGCGUUGUCGGACACGUGAUAGAUAGCAAACAUACAUCUAACCCUCGUAGCCUUGCCACACUACUGUAUUCAGGCCAUCCUGAUCUGAUGACUUUGGUGACAGCCUGUAGCUCGUUGUCAGCUGCUGUUGCCAUUCUGAUACUCUCCAGCUUAGUUGGGGAUGCUGGGAUGCCUUGUAACACCGUGGCUAGAUGCCACGUCACCUUGUGUGUCAGUCUUUAGAUGUUUUUGAGGGCUGCGGGACAGGGCAUUUGCCUGGUACAUAUUCUGCUACUGGACUGUACUUCAGGAGCCUCAUUAGUAGAUGUUGGCAUCUCACGAGGACAUUGUCUAGGCUUCGGUUGUCGUCAAGUGGUACCAAUGGCUUGUGGUCAGUCCCCAGCCUGAACUGAUCUAAGCCGCACAGAUAUUUGUCGAAUUUCUCAAAAGCCCAAACGCACGCCAGGUGCUUUUUUUUUUCUAUCUGAGCAUAGCGUGUUUCGGCUUCUGUGAGACAUCUGGAGAAGUAAGCUACCGGUUUCCACUUCUCUUCGUGGAGCUGGGGGAGUACACCCCCAAGACCAUAGCUGCUGGCAUGGACAGACACACUGAUGCAGCAACAUCAUAGAAGGCAAGAACUGGUGCUGGUUUUCGCAUCUCUUUAAUGCUCUGAAAGACUGAUUGUUGUGAGUGGCUCCAGGUCCAGAUGUUCUUGCUCUUCAGAAGCAGUGGCUGACCUAUUGUGGAUAAAUUAGGGACACACCUUCCCAGGUAGUUCACCAUGCCCAGGAUUCUUUUUAGCUCCUGAACAUUUUCUAGUGGGGACAACAAGCCCGCUGACUCACCUUCUCAAGCCUUCUCGAGCCUAACAUUGUGUUGGUCCAUUGUGGUCUCAUAGACGAGCAUGUCAUCCAUGAAGACUUCAACACCUUCCAGCCCCUGCAGAGUUUCUAGCAUUUUCCGCUGGAAGAUUUCAGGUGCGCUGGAAAUCCCGAAGGGUAAUCUUUUAAAACAGUAUCUGCCAAAAGAUGUUAUGAAGGUUAUUAGCUUGCAGCUGUCUGGAUGCAGUGGGAUUUGCCAAAACCCGCUCGUGGCAUCAAGAGAGGAGAACACAGCUGCUCCACUCAGCUUGGCUGUUCUUUCAUCUGAGGUAGGUAAGAUAUACCAUUCUCUUUUGACUGACUCAUUUAGCCUUUUUAAGUCCACACAGAUUCUGGCUUUGCCGGUUUUGCUUCACCAUAGGCGCACACCAUUUGGUUGGCUGUGUCACCCGCUGAAUGGCACCGCUCUUCUCCAUCCUGUGUAGUUCCUGUUUUACCUUUUGUAACAUAGGGAAGGGCACACAGCGAGCAGUGUGCACAACAUAUGAUUGAGCAUCAUCUUUCAGCUGGAUUUUGGCUGGUUCAUUUUUUAGAGUGCCAUGCUCACCAAAAGUUUGCAGAAAUCCACUUGUGGCACAUGUCAUUUCAUCGACUCGCUGUACUAAGCUAAUUUUCACUGAUAAAGGUUGCCUGAGCAGGUUGCUGACACUCUGGCCACAGACUACAUAUGCUUCUAAUGGGUAUUCCUUUCCCUUGUAGCUAACUGUAGCAUUGAUACAGCCAAGAUACCAAAGCUCACCUGCUGGGCUGAAAUGUCAGCUGAUUUCAGAGUUCUUGGUGGAGUGAGUUUCUGAAAGGAGUCCUCGCUUAACAUGUUGACAUCAGCUCCCGUGUCUAUUUUAAAUUCCAUCUGGAUGGAAUCCACCUUUAGUUGCACAGUCUACUGUUCUUUCUCCUCUGCACUGCACACUGAACCUAAAUAAAAAAUUUCCAGUCAG